rnacentral:rRNA from 1 species
GACAGAGGGUGCAAACGUUGCUCGGAAUCACUGGGCGUAAAGGGCGUGUAGGCGGCCGAUUGUGUCGAGUGUGAAAGCCCUCGGCUUAACCCAGGAACUGCGUCCGAUACUGGUUGGCUUGAAUCCGGGAGAGGGACGUGGAAUUCCAGGUGUAGCGGUGAAAUGCGUAGAUAUCUGGAGGAACACCGGUGGCGAAGGCGACGUCCUGGACCGGCAUUGACGCUGAGGCGCGAAAGCCAGGGGAGCAAAGCGGG